rnacentral:rRNA from 1 species
AUACGACCAUACCCACUGGAGAACUCGGGAUCCCGUCCGCUCUCCCAUAGAUAAGCCAGUGAGGGCCGGAUUAGUAGUUGGGUCGGUGACGACCAGCGAAUCCCUGGUGUUGUAUG